rnacentral:rRNA from 1 species
CGACGAUGAACCACUUCGGUGGGGAUUAGUGGCGAACGGGUGAGUAACMCGUGGGCAAUCUGCCCUGCACUCUGGGACAAGCCCUGGAAACGGGGUCUAAUACCGGAUACUGAUCCGCCUGGGCAUCCAGGCGGUUCRAAAGCUCCGGCGGUGCAGGAUGAGCCCGCGGCCUAUCAGCUUGUUGGUGAGGUAGUGGCUCACCAAGGCGACGACGGGUAGCCGGCCUGAGAGGGCGACCGGCCACACUGGGACUGAGACACGGCCCAYACUCCUACGG